UACGAAGGGGACUAGCGUUGUUCGGAAUCACUGGGCGUAAAGCGCACGUAGGCGGAUUUGUAAGUCAGGGGUGAAAUCCCGGGGCUCAACCUCGGGACUGCCUUUGAUACUGCGAAUCUCGAGUCCGAUAGAGGUGGGUGGAAUUCCUAGUGUAGAGGUGAAAUUCGUAGAUAUUAGGAAGAACACCGGUGGCGAAGGCGGCCCACUGGAUCGGUACUGACGCUGAGGUGCGAAAGCGUGGGGAGCAAACAGG
rnacentral:rRNA from 1 species